UGAUGGUUAGCUGGUCUGAGAGGAUGAUCAGCCACACUGGAACUGACACACGGUCCAGACUCCUACGGGAGGCAGCAGUGAGGAAUUUUGCGCAAUGGGGGAAACCCUGACGCAGCAACGCCGCGUGAGUGAUGAAGGCUUUCGGGUCGUAAAGCUCUGUCAAGUGGGAAGAAAUCAUGAGGUGGUAAUAUUGCCUUGUGUUGACGGUACCACUGAGGGAAGCACCGGCUAACUCCGUGCCAGCAGCCGCGGUAAUACGGGGGGUGCAAGCGUUAUUCGGAAUCAUUGGGCGUAAAGGGCGCGUAGGCGGUUUGUUAAGUCAGAUGUGUAAGCCCGGGGCUCAACCCCGGAAGUGCAUUUGAUACUGGCGGACUUGAGUAUGGGAGAGGGAAGUGGAAUUCCUGGUGUAGAGGUGAAAUUCGUAGAUAUCAGGAGGAACACCGGUGGCGAAGGCGACUUCCUGGACCAAUACUGACGCUGAGGCGCGAAGGCGUGGGUAGCAAACAGGAUUAGAUACCCUGGUAGUCCACGCAGUAAACGGUGAUCACUAGGUGUAGCGGGUAUUGACCCCUGCUGUGCCGCAGUUAACGCAUUAAGUGAUCCGCCUGGGGAGUACGGCCGCAAGGUUAAAACUCAAAGGAAUUGACGGGGGCCCGCACAAGCGGUGGAGCAUGUGGUUUAAUUCGACGCAACGCGAAGAACCUUACCUGGGUUUGACAUCUCGGGGAUUUUUUGGAAACAAGGAAGUGCCCUUCGGGGAGCCCGAAGACAGGUGCUGCAUGGCUGUCGUCAGCUCGUGUCGUGAGAUGUUGGGUUAAGUCCCGCAACGAGCGCAACCCUUAUCUUUAGUUACCAUCACCUUGGGUGGGGACUCUAAAGAUACUGCCCCGGUCAACGGGGAGGAAGGUGGGGAUGACGUCAAGUCCUCAUGGCCUUUAUGCCCAGGGCUACACACGUGCUACAAUGGGCGAUACAAAGGGUAGCGAGCCUGCGAAGGUGAGCUAAUCCCAUAAAGUCGUUCUCAGUUCGGAUUGGAGUCUGCAACUCGACUCCAUGAAGCUGGAAUCGCUAGUAAUCGCGGAUCGGCAUGCCGCGGUGAAUACGUUCCCGGGCCUUGUACACACCGCCCGUCACACCAUGAGAGUUGGUUGUACCAGAAGUUGUUGGGCCAACCCUUCGGGGAGGCAGGCACCUAAGGUAUGGCUGAUGAUUGGGGUGAAGUCGUAACAAGGUA
rnacentral:rRNA from 1 species